CUCAUUUUCUCCAUCUCCUUUCUCUCUCUAACCGAGAGCCUCUCUCUCUAGCCUCCACCGGAAAUCGCCGCCACCGCCGGACGCCGCACCGCCGCCGCCGGCCGCCGUCGCCGGAACCCCUCUCCUCACCAAAAUUUCCAUAUUUUCUCCUCUUCCUUCCCUCUUUCCAUUUCUCCAACCAAAAUCAUGAAAUUUAGCCAUUUAAUCCCCCAAAAACCCUAGAACCCGAAGCUAAAUUUGGGGCUUUUGUGAUUUCUUCUUUCCAAGCUCAAAUCAAGGUAUUUUCCAUCCUAAUCUAGCCUAUAUUCCUUCGAUCUAUACAUCUUUCUUCCUAAAUCCGAGUUUUUGAUUUGGGUUUGUGAUUUUGUUUGCAUGAACCCGAUUUCUCCUUGAACCAUGAAGCUAGGCUAUGGGUUUGGCAAGAAUUUUUGGUGAAGAAGGCCAAGGAGAAGGAGUAUGACAUGAUUUUUGAAGAAGAAAGGGAAACACGAUCGUUAAGAAAGUUUAAGCGGGAAGCAGCAGAGUGUGGAAUACGCCGGCAUAUUCCAGGUUAUAACGAGGUCAUUCCGGACGAUUUGGAUUAGAAGUGGGUCGUUGGCCAAGUUCGUGUGUUGCUGUUCCUGUUGCUUGAAGUUCUUCCCUUGUGGUAUUCCAUCGUUUUACUCGUUUUUCAUUCCAUGUUGAACUCUGUGAGGUCCGCCUACCUGGGAGCGCGCCUCACCCCUUUGUUUAUUUGUUGUUGUUGAACUUUCCUUUCAUUUCGGUUAUGAUGUAAGCCCUAAGGCGCCACAAUGCACUUGCCACCUUAUUUUGUUGCUUUUCCAGACUUGUUGAUUUA